rnacentral:rRNA from 1 species
GAUGAACGCUGGCGGCGUGCCUAAUACAUGCAAGUCGAGCGAACAGACGAGGAGCUUGCUCCUCUGACGUUAGCGGCGGACGGGUGAGUAACACGUGGAUAACCUACCUAUAAGACUGGGAUAACUUCGGGAAACCGGAGCUAAUACCGGAUAAUAUAUUGAACCGCAUGGUUCAAUAGUGAAAGACGGUUUUGCUGUCACUUAUAGAUGGAUCCGCGCCGCAUUAGCUAGUUGGUAAGGUAACGGCUUACCAAGGCAACGAUGCGUAGCCGACCUGAGAGGGUGAUCGGCCACCCUGGACCUGAGCCGCGGUCCAGACUCCUACGGGAGGCAGCAGUAGGGAAUCUUCCGCAAUGGGCGAAAACCUGACGGAGCAACGCCGCGUGAGUGAUGAAGGUCUUCGGAUCGUAAAACUCUGUUAUUAGGGAAGAACAAAUGUGUAAGUAACUAUGCACGUCUUGACGGUACCUAAUCAGAAAGCCACGGCUAACUACGUG